UGUGACCUCAAAUCAGGUAGGACUACCCGCUGAACUUAAGCAUAUCAAUAAGCGGAGGAAAAGAAACUAACAAGGAUUCCCCUAGUAACUGCGAGUGAAGCGGGAAAAGCUCAAAUUUAAAAUCUGGCGGUCUUUUGGUCGUCCGAGUUGUAAUCUAGAGAAGUGUUAUCCGCGCUGGACCAUGUACAAGUCUCCUGGAAUGGAGCAUCAUAGAGGGUGAGAAUCCCGUCUUUGACAUGGACUGCCAGGGCUUUGUGAUGCGCUCUCAAAGAGUCGAGUUGUUUGGGAAUGCAGCUCAAAAUGGGUGGUAAAUUCCAUCUAAAGCUAAAUAUUGGCGAGAGACCGAUAGCGAACAAGUACCGUGAGGGAAAGAUGAAAAGAACUUUGGAAAGAGAGUUAAACAGUACGUGAAAUUGCUGAAAGGGAAACGCUUGAAGUCAGUCACGUUGACCAGGGAUCAACCCAGCUUUUGCUUGGUGCACUUCCUGGUUUGACGGGUCAGCAUCAGUUUUGACCAUUGGAAAAAGAUGAAGGGAAUGUGGCAUCU
rnacentral:rRNA from 1 species